GACAAAAAUUAAUUUCAGAUAAAUCAAAAUCCUAAUCAUAAAGCUAAGUCAUAAAUACAGGAGAAUUUACUGAUGAUGUGGGGACUGGUAGUCUCUAUACAAGCUGUAAAAAGUGGGACGAGAAGGAAAAAUUCUGUACUUAAUGUUCUGUAUUUAAUUUAAAUUUUUUAAAUGUUCAUUAAAAGAUACCACUAAGAAAAUGAGUAAGUCAAGCCAAUCGUGGUUAUCACAGGCCUGUAAUUCUAGCUGUUCAUGAAGCUGAAACACAAAGAUUGCAAAUUUAAUAGCAGCCUGGGAAACAUAGUGAGACCCUAUCUAAAACUUGGGAAAUAUAUUUAAAGGAGCUAUAGGUCAGUGGUAGAGCACUUGUGGAGCCCUGAGAAAGGGAGAUGAGAAAAAAAUUAAUAGACCAAGUCCCAGGUUUUGCAGUAUAUAAUUAACAGAGGAAUUAUGGUAAGAAUCUAAAAAGAACUAUUUAAGGAAUUUUUAAAAACUUUUUAUGUAUAAAUGUUUGGUAUAUCUAUGAACCACCUGCAUAUGUUAUCUACAUAGGCCAGAAGAGGGCAGCAGAUCUCCCUGGCACUACUAGAGUUAUAGAAGAUUGUGAGCCACCAUGUGGGUGUUGAGAACCAAACAGGGGUCCUCUGCAAGAGCAGUAAGUGCUCUCAAUAGCUGAGCCACUGCCCCAUCCCCUAUAAAGAAGUGAUUCAUAAUUCAAUAAACAUGUGUGUGUAUAUGUAUGUAUACAUAUAUGUGUGUGUGUAUAUUUAUACAUACACACACACACACACACAAAUAUAUAUGUGUGUAUGGACAAGAUGCUAAAAACCAUUUAUUUUGCUUUCAAAACCCUCUGGAAUGACUACAAAAAUAAAAAAUAAAACAAUUAAUGUGGGUAAAUAUGGAUAGAAAUAGUAGCUCUUCCACAUUAAUGUGCAGGUUAUAAAAUGGUACAGCCACUUUGGAAAACAGUUUUGUCAGUUUCUUAAAAAGGUAAAUAUAGGGGGUUUCUGGGGGGUGGGACCAGGAAAGAGGGUAACAUUUGAAAUGUAAAUAAAGAAAAUAUCC
rnacentral:lncRNA from 1 species